UCGCCAAUCGGGAUUCGCGAGUACUAGAUUUAUCGCCUGCCUACAACGUUUGGAACAUAUGCAAUGAUAACAGCGAGUCCGCGUUAAUAUGUAAUUUGGAAUAUUGUUUUGCGAUUGUCUGUACACACCAGACUGGGAAAACUCUGCCAUGUAGUUUAUUUAGGUUCCUAGAGUACGGAAGCGGUGGAUACAAAGAUGUAGACUUGGAUGUUGUAAACCUGCAGUGAGAAAUAUACCUGCUUAAUUAACCAUCCAUGACAAUUGGGAACAUCAUGAUUAAAAGACCCUGGGAAGGGAUCAUGACAACUGUUGGAAGUGUCCAUUCAACUGAAAUACCAAAGCCAUUUGAAGAUUGGAAUUUAUGCAACAAAAGUGAACAAAAUAUGACCAAAUUGAUAUGAAUAGCCAGUCCUUCGCUUAGUUAUUACAAUAGUCGCCACAAAGAAAAGGCUUUAAUGUGUGUUACAUUUAAUGCAGCUCAUUUCCAAUCUGUAUGCUGGAUACAAAUAUGAUUCGGCAAUUGUGAACCAUUGUGGCAUUUUGGAGAAGUUGCAAGUUGGUGAUAUGUUCCUGGCGGACAAAGGAUUUUGUGUAUUUGACAAACUUCUAAAUGACUUGACACUUAAUAUCCCUCUAUUUCUUACAAAUAAUUCCACUUCUCAAAAGAGGAUGCACAGCUUUGCUAUAAGAUUCGCAGAGGCAGAAUCCAUGAAGGAUUAGAAGAUGAGAGAAUAUUUUUUUAAGGAAGCCAUAUUCUAUCAAAGUAUAGAUAUUGAUCUGACAAAAUAUUUCAGCUUUGUGUGGCCCAUGUGAAUUUGCAGGUUCCCCUUUUGAAGGAGAUUGCAGAUAAAUCCUACAAACUUAUUAGAUUAAUUGCACUUAUAUGUAUAAAAAUCUGCACAUACCUCAUCUAAAAUAAGACAAAAACUGUCUAUAAUGUUUAUUUAAUGGUAUACAUGCAAGGUAAAGAUAACGAACAGUGAUCAAUCUCAUACAUAACUUUGAUAGAUGCACCACUGAUAUCAUAGUAAAGGAUAUGUACAUGUGGUUAUGUGUGUGUGUUUUAUAAUUCAAUCGGUGAAAUUGAAAGAAUUUACUAGCAUUAUAAAGACUGCAAAAAUACUUUUUUAUUAUAAUGUUAUAAUUAAACUCUAUCACGCUUAAAAUGUUUUUUGACCAUAAUACAUCUUUGUCGAUGUGAACUCGUUGAGUGUCAAUAGGAGUCCACACUAGGAAAUCACAGCAUAGGGUGUCUUUCAGGUGUUGUUGUCCUUGGAUAUGAUGCCAAUAUUCAUACUGUGUUUUGAGGUGCAGCGAA